rnacentral:lncRNA from 1 species
CCAAGGCUCCUGGUGGUGGCCCCUCCUGCCACCCCUCCACCUCAGCUCUGACAUGGCCCACUGAAGGGAAGGGCAAGAGGCAAGGAGGGGAGGAACUGAUCUUUCCAAAAGCCAGCUCCUGGGACCUGAGCUUGCUGCGGAGUGUACAGUCAUCCCUUAGCUGUGGAGGGACAGGUAAGGACCUGGGGUGCCUGGCCCACCAUUCCUGCUGCCUGCUGCACAGAACUGUCAGGGAUGGUCUCGGCUGAUUCUUCCUGCUUUGCCUUAUCUUAGUGACAGGUUUCUGGAACUAUAUCCUUGGGGCACCCUUCACCUUGAAACCCAGAAGGAGAGGGCCAUCUCUACCUGCCCAACCCUUGCUCUCAUUCCGCUCCUGCGGGGCCACCGGUCUCCAGCCAGUCCCAGCUGCCUGUGCCGGUUACCCGAUCCACCCUGUAGCCCUGCAAACUUUAUGGUAUUCUGGGCGGUGGCUGGCCUGGUGGAGGCGGGGGCUUCUACUUAAAGGAACCGUCAGAGGGUGCCCUGUGGGCCCCAGCCUUCUUCCCUUCCCCAGGACAAGAGGGGUCAAGGUGGGAGACCCCUGUCAGAGUUCUUGGUGGAGUGUGGGAAGGCAGCCGUGUCAGCCUCACAGACUUCUAGUACCUGAGAAGAGGUGCAGCAACUGCUUUGCUCUUUGCACUUGGUGCCCUCUGGAAUGA